rnacentral:rRNA from 1 species
UACCGGCGGCUCGAGUGGUGGCCACUAUUAUUGGGCUUAAAGCGUCCGUAGCUUGGUUGUUAAGUCUCUUGGGAAAUCUACCGGCUCAACCGGUAGGCGUUCAGGAGAUACUGGCAAUCUAGGGACCGGGAGAGGUGAGAGGUACUCCAGGGGUAGGAGUGAAAUCCUGUAAUCCUUGGGGGACCACCUGUGGCGAAGGCGUCUCACUAGAACGGCUCCGACAGUGAGGGACGAAAGCUGGGGGAGCAAACCGGAUUAGAUACCCGGGUAGUCCCAGCUGUAAACGAUGCGCGUUAGGUGUAUCGGUGACCACGAGUCACCGAGGUGCCGAAGGGAAACCGUGAAACGUGCCGCCUGGGAAGUACGGUCGCAAGGCUGAA